CAUUAAGAAGCUAAAACUAUUAAGCAUUAACCUUUUAAGUUAAAGACUGGGUGCCCAAACCCCUUAAUGA
rnacentral:tRNA from 1 species